CCAGCCACACCCAAUCGGGUUGUUCCUUGUUUUUGAUGCUGGAGAGGGAGAAAUGCAGACAGUCCUGCGGAUCUGCUGCCUAAGCGAGUGAAAAAAAAUAUUAAAAACAAGCCAGAAGUUUACAUAAACUCAUUUUUGUACUCUGGAGAAUAUAUUUUUGUUUUUCCGACCUGUCCUUGCCUUCGUGAUGUUGUGAACGUAACUGAACGGGACUUGGCCAUUAAGGUUUGGAUCGGGAAAUGCCGAGCUAGAAUCGGAGUUUGAUUCGCGAAGUAAGAAACAAGAUGGCGAGCCACCCAGGGACCCGUUGAACUGUGCCGAGCAGGAAAAGGAAAAACGCCCCCUGCUGGACGUUGAACUCUUUCACUAAAAAACUGGUAGGAUUAAUCCAUACACCUCUGCAAAAGAACAGUGGACUUUCAAAGCACUGGAAAACCAUUCAGAGCAAUUCCAGGAUUAAUAGUUAAAGGACACAGAGACAACUUUCUUUUGUUUGUUUGUUUGUUUGUUUAAGGGAUUAAUUCAACCUUUUGCUGAACUGUUUUCAGUUUUUACAUUUUUUGGUUUUUGUAAUUUAUUUUUUGGUCAACCUUAUAUUUUAAUGCUGUAAUGGUGUUAAUGGAAAUGUAAAUAAUUUUGUUGGGUUAGAGCAAAAUAAGAAAUGGUUGGAAUUUAAAGGUGAGUUAGACCAAGAUUAAAUUAAAUCUUGGGCCUAAAGAACUAAACUUGAUUUAAAAUAACACAGUGUUAAUUCAAAUAGAUUAAAGGGUAAACUUGAACUUAGAACUUGAAAUAAAUAAAGGUUGAAAAUAACAUCCUUUUAAAGCCAAAGGAAAGGUUUUGAGAUAAAUAGGCUAAAUUAACAGAAAUUAUUGAACCAAAAAGGGAAAGAAAAUAUCUUGUUUUCCUAAAUAUGGUGUUGAAUGUUUUAUGUAAUGUGUGUUAACUGUCUAUUCUCUGUCUUUACAAAAUAAUAAACCGGCAAUUUAAACUUA